rnacentral:rRNA from 1 species
UCGUAGUUGAAUUUGUGUCUUGCGCUGUCGGUUCAUCGCUGUUUGCGGUGUUUAACUGGCAUGUUGUGAGACGUCUUGCCGGAAGGGCAUGGUAUAUGUUUUAUAAGUUUGUUCUCGCAUUAAUGGCACAUUGGUCAUAACAAAAAAUUUAUAUUUAAAUAUAGAGUGUAAAAGCUUUGUAUUUUAUAUUAUAUUGAUGUUAUUGAUUCUUUGUAAUAUUAUGUGAACAGGACCUUAUAUUAAAUGUAUACGUAGUCCGACUUUUUUUAAAAAUCCUGUCUAGGUGCUCUUAAUUGAGUGUCGUGGCGGGCCGGCACGUUUACUUUGAACAAAUUAGAGUGCUUAAAGCAGGCUUAUGUUGCCUGAAUAUAGUGUGCAUGGAAUAAUGAAACAGGACCUCGGUUCUAUUUUGUUGGUUUUCUGAACUGACGAGGUAAUGAUUAAUAGGGACAGAUGGGGGCAUUCGUAUUGCGACGUUAGAGGUGAAAUUCUUGGAUCG